rnacentral:rRNA from 1 species
UACGUAGGGGGCAAGCGUUGUCCGGAAUCAUUGGGCGUAAAGAGCGCGUAGGCGGUCCGGUAAGUCCGCUCUGAAAGCCCGGGGCUCAACCCCGGGAGGCGGGCGGAUACUGUCGGGCUAGAGUCCGGAAGAGGCGAGUGGAAUUCCUGGUGUAGCGGUGAAAUGCGCAGAUAUCAGGAGGAACACCGAUGGCGAAGGCAGCUCGCUGGGACGGUACUGACGCUGAGGCGCGAAAGCGUAGGGAGCAAACAGG